rnacentral:rRNA from 1 species
CGCCUGGGGAGUACGGUCGCAAGGCUAAAACUCAAAGGAAUUGACGGGGGCCCGCACAAGCGGUGGAGUAUGUGGUUUAAUUCGAAGCAACGCGCAGAACCUUACCUGGCCUUGACAUCCCGGGACAAUCUCAGAGAUGAGACUUUCUCUUCGGAGACUCGGUGACAGAUGCUGCAUGGCUGUCGUCAGCUCGUGUUGUGAAAUGUUCGGUUAAGUCCGGCAACGAGCGCAACCCCUAUCCUUAGUUACCAGCAUUAAUUGGGGACUCUAGGGAGACUGCCCGUGAUAAGCGGGAGGAAGGUGUGGAUGACGUCAAGUCCUCAUGGCCCUUACGGGUUGGGCUACACACGUGCUACAAUGGCAUCUACAGUGGGUAAUCCCCAAAAGAUGUCUCAGUUCGGAUUGGGGUCUGCAACUCGACCCCAUGAAGUCGGAAUCGCUAGUAAUGGCACAUCAGACGGUGCCGUGAAUACGUUCCCGGGUCUUGAACACACCGCCCGUC